GCCGGGCGUGGUGGCUCAUGCCUGUAAUCCCAGCAGUUUGGGAGGCCGAGCCGGGAGGAUCACCUGAGGUCAGGAGUUCGAGACCAGCCUGGCCAACAUGGUGAAACCCCGUCUCUA
rnacentral:SRP_RNA from 2 species